GCCGAGAAGGCAGCGGGGCGGCGGCGGCGGCGGCGGCGGCUGUGGAGGCCGCAGUCCGGGUCCUGGCUUCGGCCUCAGCCCCACCAUGGUGACGCUUGCUGAACUGCUGGUGCUCCUGGCCGCUCUCCUGGCUACGGUCUCGGGCUAUUUCGUUAGCAUCGACGCGCAUGCUGAAGAGUGCUUCUUUGAGCGGGUCACCUCGGGCACCAAGAUGGGCCUCAUCUUCGAGGUGGCGGAGGGCGGCUUCCUGGACAUCGACGUGGAGAUUACAGGACCAGAUAACAAAGGAAUUUACAAAGGAGACAGAGAAUCCAGUGGGAAAUACACAUUUGCUGCUCACAUGGAUGGAACAUACAAAUUUUGUUUUAGUAACCGGAUGUCCACCAUGACUCCAAAAAUAGUGAUGUUCACCAUUGAUAUUGGGGAGGCUCCGAAAGGACAAGAUAUGGAAACAGAAGCUCACCAGAACAAGCUAGAAGAAAUGAUCAAUGAGCUAGCAGUGGCGAUGACAGCUGUAAAGCACGAACAGGAAUACAUGGAAGUCCGGGAGAGAAUACACAGAGCCAGUAAGUGAAUGCCGUCACUUUGCAGCAGUGUCUGAUGGUGAAGUCAACGACAACACAAACAGCAGAGUGGUCCUUUGGUCCUUCUUUGAAGCUCUUGUUCUAGUUGCCAUGACAUUGGGACAGAUCUACUACCUGAAGAGAUUUUUUGAAGUCCGGAGGGUUGUUUAAAAAGCCUCUUCCUGAUGAUCCCAACUCAGAAUUCACUGUUUACCAAACACCUUGGUCAUAAUAAUGUCAUUAGUUUCUCCAUUUUUAUUUUCUGAACUGUACAUUCACAACUUAUGUUUCUUUGUGAUUAAUAGAUAUUGGGGGAAAAAACGCCUUUUUAGGAAAAUUAUAGUGAAAAUCUGACAGUUGAUUGGCAUAAUUUCUUGUUUGAAUGCUGCCUCCAUUAUAUAGGUCCUUCCAGGAACUCAAACACUGUAAGUGAAAUAUGGGAGUAUAGUUUUUAUUAUUUCUUCUUUUCCUUUUGUUUUCAUAAUAUAAUGCAGUUUGUUCAGGAAAUCAGCACAAAGCCUGAUAGUACUUUACUAAAAUGACUGCAUUCUUUGGAUUCCUUCAGUCUAUGGUUCAGGUCACUAAAGAUUCAUUUUUGUUGAGUCCUUAUGAGAAACAGCAGUAUGAAUCUUGACGGUUUCUGCCCGUCCUAAUGGCAGAGCUCUCUGACUUGGGUGUAUGCUGCCAGGCUGGGUACUUUCAUACUUUGUUUUCUUGUUUUGCUUUAAAACUACGACUCGGCAUACAUUUUCCCACAUACAUUUUUACAUUGUACCUUAGGACUC
rnacentral:sRNA from 1 species